GACGAACGCUGGCGGCGUGCUUAAUACAUGCAAGUCGAACGGAAAGGCCAUGCUCUUGUGCGGUGCUCGAGUGGCGAAGGCGUGAGUAAAACGUGAGUAACCUGCCCUUGACUUUGGGAUAACUUCAGGAAACUGCGGCUAUUACAGGAUAGAAGCUCCUGCUGCAUAGUGGGGGAUGGAAAGAUUCGGCGGUUGGGGAUGGACUCGCGGCUUAUCAGCUUGUUGGGGGGGUAGUGGCUUACCAAGGCUUUGACGGGUAGCCGGCCUGGGAGGGUGACCGGCCACAUUGGGACUGAGAUACGGCCCAGACUCCUACGGGAGGCAGCAGUGGGGAAUAUUGCACAAUGGGCGGAAGCCUGAUGCAGCAACGCCGCGUGCGGGAUGACGGCCUUCGGGUUGUAAACCGCUUUCGCCUGUGACGAAGCGUGAGUGACGGUAAUGGGUAAAGAAGCACCGGCUAACUACGUG
rnacentral:rRNA from 1 species